CCUACGGGGGACAGCAGUGGGGGAUAUUGCACAAUGGGGGGAACCCUGAUGCAGCGACGCCGCGUGUGGGAAGACGGUCCUCUGGAUUGUAAACCACUGUCCCCAGGGACGAAAAUGACGGUACCUGGGGAGGAAGCUCCGGCUAACUACGUGCCAGAAGCCGCGGUAAUACGUAGGGAGCGAGCGUUGUCCGGAAUUACUGGGUGUAAAGGGAGCGUAGGCGGGGAUGCAAGGUGGGUGUCAAUACUACCGGCUCAACUGGUAGUCGCACUCAAAACUGCAGCGUUUGAGUGAAGUAGAGGCAGGCGGAAUUCCUAGUGUAGGGGGGGAAUGCGUAGAUAGUAGGAGGAACACCAGUGGCGAAGGCGGACUGCUGGGCUUUUACUGACGCUGAGGCUCGAAAGUGUGGGGAGCAAACAGGAUUAGAUACCCCUGUAGUC
rnacentral:rRNA from 1 species